rnacentral:rRNA from 1 species
GACGGCAAGCAAAUCUCUUAAAGCCAGUCUCAGUUCGGAUUGUAGGCUGCAACUCGCCUACAUGAAGUCGGAAUCGCUAGUAAUCGCGGAUCAGCACGCCGCGGUGAAUACGUUCCCGGGCCUUGUACACACCGCCCGUCACACCACGAGAGUUUGUAACACCCGAAGUCGGUGAGGUAACCUAUUAGGAGCCAGCCGCCUAAGGUGGGAUAGAUGAUUGGGGUGAAGUCGUAACAAGGUAGC